GAAUUAUUUUCAUCCAAAUAGACCCACGAAUUCACUGAGUCAGAUCUUUUCUCUUCUUCCCUUCCUCUCCAACAAUUCUUCUUCAUUCCUUUCUUCUCUGUGCACGCUGCGUUCCUCAAAUCCUCUGCGCCGCCGCAGAUCCUCUGCACCGUCGUUCCUCUGCCAUUCCUUUCUUCCCUCCCUCUCCAACAAUUCCCCCGCCGUUCCUUUCUUCUCAGCGCACGAACCAAGUCUCUUCCGCCGCCGUUCCUGAAAUCCUCCGCGCCGCCGUUUUCUCCGCCGCCGGUGUCUUACACCGCUCCUCCGUCUCAGCGCAGUGUUACUACUGUUCCUACCGGAGAUGUCCUUGAUAAUAGCACUUCAGUUAAUUUCAGAAUAGGGCAUUGGAGAUAUCAUCUGAUUUAAAGGGAAGUAGGGAACAUCCAUAUUUCUUAUUGGUGAAUGGUUGUUGGGAGACGUUGACUCAGCACCAAGGUUGGUCUACCAGGUAAAACACUUCUAGCAAAAGCUGUUGCCAGAGAGGCUGAUGUUCCUUUCAUCAGCUGUUCUGCAAGUGAAUUUGUAGAGCUGUAUGUUGGUUUGGGGGCCUCUCGUGUCAGAGAUAUUUUUGCUCGGGCAAAGAAGGAGGCUCCAUCCAUUAUAUUCAUAGAUGAGGUUUGUGAUGGUGGAUUAAAUGAGUCGUACGUUGAGCUGAAGAGGCUUGUGAAUUCACAAGAAAAGUUAUACCAGAUGGCUAGCUAGUUGCAUAUUUAAUAUAUUUAGUAUUUUUGUAAGGCAUAAUAGUAUUAGAUAGAGCAUUUGUUGAAUUUUGACUAUAUUCAAAUAAUGUAUGAAUUCUUUUUUAUGAUAAUAAUAUAUGGAUUUUCAAUA